GGCAGGGCGGGUGCGAUGAUUCCCGUGCGGCUGCAGGGGGCGCUGUGGUGCGAGCUCGGCCGCCUCUCCACAAUGGCCAAGACGGGCUGCAGCAGGAACCGUGGAGCGGCAGCUGGAGCUGCAGGGAUGAGCAAACUCCACAGUAGCAAAUGAAAUGUAGCAGAAACUCCACAGGAGCUGAGGAGCGUCCAGGCAGGCAGGGGUGCUGGGUUACAGUUGUCUGGAAAAUUAAUCCACAAACACCAGAGGUUUAUGUCCAAAAAGGAGACAGAGGAGUCCUUCUACUUUAUUUGAAUAAAGGGAGAGGCCAUGGAGCAUUCCCCUGGGGUCUCUCAAAUUUUUGGAGGGCGCAGACUCCUUUUUAUCCUAAUUCCCGACUGUAUGUCCCUUCUCUCUUUCCCCAUAGGCUGAGGGACUUGAGAGGUACAGACUUCCCAGAACGCCUGAUACCUGAGACCCGCCCCCCCCUUCCCCAAUGCAUAACCCUCUUCUUAAUUCUGAACUCUUGUGGAAUUCGUAGUGUUUCCUCAGUGUCUUUUUCAUCCUUCAGUAACAUCCAUCCCAUUGUUUCUGUUAUCUCUCAGUGAUAGUUUUAUCUUAUCAGCAGACCCACAGCCUGUUUGUAAAUACAGCCGUCAUUCCUCUCAGUGUAGUGAAAACCCGGAGCAGUGGCAGAGAAGCGGCGGCGCUGGGCAGUAGCUGCCUGGCUCCGGAGCACCACUUGGAGAGGCUCCCUUGGAAGCAGAGGGGUCUUGGGGAUCCCGGGGUUUCCUCUGAGGCACCCGAGUAGAUGGUGAGGGUCCUUUGUUUGGUGAGGCAGGUGUUAAUAAGGUCUAAUGCAUCGGCUGCCCUCAGGAGCGGAGUUUCACUCACGGUAGGAGGCAGCAGGAGACAGCAUCCCGCAGUGGUGGCAAAUUCUCCCCACAGUGACCGCAGCCUGCCUCUGAUGUCGAUAGCGAGAGAGAGCUAAUGUCCCUUCCUGCUAGACCAGAUCUCUCUGCCCUUCCCAAGGGAAUGCCCCUCAGCUGCCGUAGCAGCCACCUGCACUCAUCCCCUUCUCUUUGGCCAUAUCCUUUGUAUCGGUCGCUAUUGUCUCUUAGCAAUAAAUGGGAGAAAACUCCCUGAGAGAAAAAAAAGGAAAAAUCCUAACCGCCAACAACAACAAAAGACAGCAGAAAGAAGUGUAAUAAUUGAACCUCGUAACUUAACUUACUGAUGGGAUCACAAUUCCAUGAGCAUGGCUCCAGGGAAAUCCAGCCUGCACAGGUGUGCAAAGCUGGGUGUCCCAGACAAUUGUGUGUGCCAAGGGAAGGAUGUGAGUACUAAAGCCAUGCAGAGUGGAAGGAGUUGGGGAGGACAAGGUGUCAGACAAACCAAAAAGGUGCAAAAGGAGCUGGUCAUGGGUAAAGUGGAACUGGUCAGUGAGCUUGGCCAAGGCAGCCAAGCUCUAGGCAGGGGUUUCAGGCAGGUAGAGGGUUCACACAGGUGUCUGCAAAACCACCUGGCAGCAGCUGCCCUUGCAUCCUGCUUUAUUUGUGCUCAGCUGGUGCCUUCCAGAGUGAUGUGACAAAGAAGAGUGGAAUGCCUUGUGUUCCCUGGGACUGGGAAUAAGGCCAUCAUCCCUCAACACAUGAAGAGUUGCCUGGAGAACAGAGAAGUGGUGAGAUACAAAGCCCAGCACAUGCUGUUCCCCAUUUACCAGUUGAGCAGUCAAGGUGGCACAUGCCCUGCAAACAUCUCCACUAUGAACCCAUGGACAGCAGGACAAAACUGGGCAAACAGCCAGGAUAGGAGCCAGACCUCCCCUUUUCACAGAAUGCAGCCUUGACAUGCAGAGCAUGGGCCACUGCUCUGCAUCUGGUGUCCCCAGGUGCCAUCCCAAAGAGCUGGAGAUGCCUGUGGUGCCGUGGCCCAGGAGGUCUCUGAGUGUCCUGCACAGGGAGAUACAGACUCCUCCAGCACUCAGGGGCUCUUAUCACCCACCUGCAGCUGGGCCAAGGGAGCAGAGAUGCAGUAGACCCUAUGAUGUAAACAGGACUGGGCACUGCAGAAACAGGAGGAAUUGCCAAAUUGGAUGAUGUGUUGGAUGAGUUCCCAUGUGGGCUGGCAGCUUCAGGGCAUGGCAGGUCAUUGCCCAGAGGAGGGGAGGUGGAAGCGCAGUGGGGUGGUACCCAGACAGACUCCCAGCUCUGUUCUCCAGGCCAUCCAGCCCUCUGGACUGUGCCCUGCUCACACAAACAAACUGGAAAUACUGGGCAAGCUCAGUCCAGCCCUGAGCAGAUGAGGGGAUCAGAGGAGUGGCGAGCAGACUGAAGACCUUCCAAACCAUCCCAAACCUGCUUUCCUGGAGCCAACCUGCAGGCUGAACAGGUGAGUACUGUCUGUCUAAAAAGUGCUGAAUGCUGUGACCCUUCCAUCAUUCCUUCUCUGCUUUAUCAUCUUCAGGCAGCCCUUGAGUCUUGCAAUUCCCACUUUCAGAAGUGAAUCCUGUUUCCUCUCCUGUUGAUUGACUGUGGUGUGCUGGAUUGAUGUGCUGGCAUCCAGGAUGGAAAGAGUAGAAAGUGAGACCCUGAUUGAUGAGGUGGAGGACAUGAGUGGAAGAGCACCAGAGACACCCCAGCUCAGGUCCAGGUGGCUGUACUGCAGGUGUGCACCCACCUACUCAGGUGCCUCCUCCUCCAGGAAACUGAGGUCCUCUUGGCCAGGAUGUGUGCAGGCCCCUGGGGCAAUGACAGGAUUGG